rnacentral:rRNA from 1 species
CCUACGGGUGGCAGCAGUGGGGAAUAUUGGACAAUGGGCGAAAGCCUGAUCCAGCCAUGCCGCGUGUGUGAAGAAGGCCUUCGGGUUGUAAAGCACUUUCAGUGGGGAAGAAAGCCUUGGGGCUAAUACCCUCGAGGAAGGACAUCACCCACAGAAGAAGCACCGGCUAACUCCGUGCCAGCAGCCGCGGUAAUACGGAGGGUGCGAGCGUUAAUCGGCAUUACUGGGUGUAAAGCGCGCGUAGGCGGUCUGAUAAGCCGGUUGUGAAAGCCCCGGGCUCAACCUGGGAACGGCAUCCGGAACUGUCAGGCUAGAGUGCAGGAGAGGAAGGUAGAAGUCCCGGUGUAGCGGUGAAAUGCGUAGAGAUCGGGAGGAAUACCAGUGGCGAAGGCGGCCUUCUGGACUGACACUGACGCUGAGGUGCGAAAGCGUGGGUAGCAAACAGGAUUAGAUACCCGUGUAGUC